rnacentral:rRNA from 1 species
UACAGAGGGUGCGAGCGUUGUCCGGAAUCACUGGGCGUAAAGGGCGCGUAGGUGGCGACCCAAGUCGAUGGUGAAAGCUCGCCGCUCAACGGCGAGUCGGCCACUGAUACUGGGUUGCUGGAGCACUGUAGAGGCAGAUGGAAUUCCGGGUGUAGCGGUGGAAUGCGUAGAGAUCCGGAAGAACACCGGUGGCGAAGGCGGUCUGCUGGGCAGUUGCUGACACUGAGGCGCGGACAGCGUGGGGAGCAAACAGG